rnacentral:lncRNA from 1 species
GUCAUGGGAAAACAUGUAGGGUUAAUAAUUUUUAAAAAAUCAACUAUCUAGUCUAAUGUCAUCUGGAGAAAUUACUAUCAGCAUCAUUACUCUAACAUAAUUCUGAUACUUAGAGAUUUUUUACUGUUUGAAAGAAAACCAAUUUUAAAGAUAGUUAAACUAGCUUUUUUCCUAAAUGUGUGGGUUUCUAAACUAAAGUUACUUCCAUAGCAAAUGGCUUUCAUUACUCCAUCUUGUAUACCUUGUCUGAAAGUACCUUUUGAGGCUAAGAAACAAAAAGCUAAUGCAACACUAAACCUGAAAGACAAAAUUACAGCUUUCACAGGUAUUUCAUUCAGUGUAGGCCAAUACCUUUCACAGUCAAUAAUAACAACGGGAGAAUGUUGUCAUUUCUUGACAUUAUCUACUGCCUGUAACUCUCUGCUGUCACAUUUAAAGGAAUGUUGACAUUAUCAUGUUUGGAGAAAGCAAAUCUGAACUGAUAUCCUAGGGAAUAAUACAUUAUUUUCCUACAUGACCUUCACAAUCAUGAGAGUGGUAGAAUUCUCCAUGAUUCACUUUCUGUCUUAAAUAUAUAUUUAGGGAAUGAGAACUGAUACAAGCACUUGAAAUGUCAGAUAAAUAAAAUUAUUAGCCACCAUGCAAUUUGGUAUUACCUGGAAAAGAUGAAGAAGCAUGUUUGUAGCACCAGAAAUUUAACUCCCAGGCACAUACCCUAGCACAGAUUUCUAAGACCCCUGCCAUGGUAACCUAGUAUGCAACAAAUGUGUGAGGGGUGUGCCCAAAUAUGGUUCUCCUCAACCCUCCAGCCAAACAAGAGCCCCCUGGCCAGAGACAUAGCUUCAUUCCUUUGAUGGAGAGUUUUGUACAAAUAUGAUCUAUCAUUUCCUAUGUGUGCUGUAGCAUGAAAAAGGCUGGGAAACAUUGAUAGAGAAGUUCUUACAUAUGUGUGGCAGAUAAAUACACAGGAGAGUGUGUGUGUGUGUGUGUGUGUGUGUGUGUGUGUGUGUAUAUAUGCAUUGACAUGGAUAAAUCUAAGACUAUAUAUGCUGAGUAAAAAAUGGUAAGUCCCAGAAAAAUGCAUACAAUAUUGUUAAUUCUUUUAUAAAACUCAAAAACAGGUAAAACUAACCAGCAUACUGUUUAAGCAUAUACAGAUAUGUGAUAAAACCGUUGAAAAAAAGCAAGAAAAUUAUUAUUAACACAAAAUUCAGAACUUUGGUUGCCUCUGAAGGAGGAUGAAAAGUUUGGGAUCGGAAAGGAGCACACAGGAGAUAUUAGAGAUAAUGGUAAUAUCGCUUUCUUAAAGCUGGGCUGCAGGUACACAUGUGUUCUCUAUACAGUUAUUCCAUAAGCCUUAUAAAUAGUUUAUAAAUAUUUGCCAUCUACUCAGUGUUUAAUGCCUACCUUUUAUCAAAGCCCUACUUUAUCCAAAGGCAGAUAGCCAGUGCAUCUAUGAUCUCUGCAACAGAAUGAGGUACAUGGAACAGGAGGGACAGAAAGCACCCGACUGACUACACAGAACACUACAGCUCAGAUACUGAACCUUUCACAAGAGCCCUCCAAACCUAUACACAACUGCAACAAGAAAAGACUCAUAAACUACACAGUAAUUAAGAUUAAAUUAAAUAUGCUACCAUUUUACGAGGUACCACGUAUGAAAAUAUUAGCAUUAAAUAAAACACAGAUUUAAAGAAUCAGGACUGAAUAAACUGCCAGCCUAUGGAUGAAUAACUCUUGUUGCUAUUUUCAAAACAAUCAACAUUUCAUUGUGUAUUUAGACCACACAAAAGACAUUUACAGACUGACAAUACUUUAAUUCAUCAUGUAUAUCCAGCCAUGUUUGCUUAGUCAAAUGCCUGUCUGUUUGUCAAUGUCAUUUAAGGGCAGGUUUAUAAAGCUUCAAGAGCAAGAACUAGAUCUGUUUCAUCUGAUAUAACUACCAAGGAAAAACACAAUGAAAAUGGUUUCAGAAUCCUUGCCUCUACUCUUUGUUUUAAGGGCUAGACAGAGGGAAGCCGUUUUUCUAAGCAUUAGAUAUUUUGUAGACGCAAAAGAGCCAUAAUAGACCACAAAGAUAUAAACUUAACUUCUAAAUUAAUUUAUUAUUUUUGAUUUGGAAUAUAAAAGAAGCCCAGCUUGAGCUUUCCCUUUAAUAUUAAAAAAGAGAGAGAGACAGCCACUUAAAACAGAUAAGUUAAUGUUUAUACCAAAGCAAAUUUUUUCCCUUUCUUUUUUUUUUUUUUCUUUAAAGUUUGAAUAGGUGAGUGACCUUACUGGAAUUCCCCUGUUAGCUCUGGAGUAUCUAUUUGGAAGUUUCAAACAGAAACUACUUUCACAUGAUACAUUAGAAUGUUAUGCCAAGUGGUAUCUAUCUCUGCACCUUGAACUCAGAUGUUAUAACAUGGAUGAAUAAAUAAACUUUACACAAAACGAAAAGCAUUUUUUCCCUUAGGCCAUUUAAGAAAAUAUCAAAUUUAAUUAUAUUUAUAGGGUCAUUAUAUAUAGAAAAACUUCACAUACUUACCCAAACUCAAGAAAUUCAACCUUGAUACAGCUUCAAGCUAUCAAAAAUAGGCCAGUUUUUAAGAAUGUCAAACAAUGAAUAUAUCAUGCUGAAGUGAGAAUCUGAGUCCAUAUUUAAUUCGUUACAUUAGUACAAUUGCCUAAAAAUCCACACAAUAAUAAAGCAUUUGCUUCUCCUUUAUUUCAUAUUUUCUAAAAUACCUAUUUCCACCGAAAGGAAGUUAGUUUCAGAUUUACUGAGAAAUGGCUUAUAGCAACCCUGUCCUUUCCAGUGUGGGGCAGUCCCGAAACUAACCCUAAACCACUGAAAAUCAAUACAGAGUCAUAAGCAACAGUAGGGAUAAUUUAGAAUUGAAACAAAAUAUUUCCCCAAGCCAGGCCACACCCCUGAGUUUCACCCUUGGCACUUCUUUCCCUCCUUUUCAGAAGGUGAAAGCACAAAAAGCACACCCUGGAAUUUUAGUCCAGUCAUCUAUCUUGCUCUCAAAAGCUGUUUACAGGACAGAAAAAAAAAAAAAAAAAAAAA